ACGCUCGACACCUACGGGAGCAGCAGUGGGGAAUAUUGCACAAUGGGGGAAACCCUGAUGCAGCGACGCCGCGUGAGCGAAGAAGUAUUUCGGUAUGUAAAGCUCUAUCAGCAGGGAAGAAACUGACGGUACCUGACUAAGAAGCACCGGCUAAAUACGUGCCAGCAGCCGNGGUAAUCUGAGCGGGCUGGCAAGGC
rnacentral:rRNA from 1 species